AUGGGUUCCAAAAUCAGGGUCAGAGCUGAGGGAGGGGAAACGGCACCCGAGGAGCCCAGAGGGAGCAGCCAGGUCCGCUGGGAGGUGGCAGCACCAUCCGUGGUGGGGACAGGCGGGUCCCCACCCCAAGAGCCCCUUCACAGACCUUGGGGGCCAUCCCAGGAGUCCUGUGCUCACCAGGGGCCGAUGGCCACUGUCACAGCUGUCCGGUUGUGCCCCAGUGGCCGCUGUCACAGCUGUCCAGGUGUAUCCUGGUGGCUGCUGUCACAGCUGUGUCCCUAUGGCCACUGUCACAGUUGUGUUCCUGUGGCUGCUGUCACAGCUGUGUCCCAGUGGCUGCUGUCACAACUGUCUGGUUGUGCCCUGGUGGCCACUGUCACAGCUGUCCAGGUGUGUCCCGGCCACUGUCACAGCUAUAUCCCUGUGGUUGCUGUCACAGCUGUCCAGGUGUGUCCCGGCCACUGUCACAGCUAUAUCCCUGUGGCCGCUGUCACAGCUGUCCGGUUGUGCCCUGGUGGCCACUGUCACAGCUGUCCAGGUGUGUCCCUGUGGCCACUGUCUGGGUGUGUCCUUGUGCCCGCUGACAGCCCUGGUGGCUCCUUGGG
rnacentral:lncRNA from 1 species